GUUUUUGACGAGUCAUACUCGUUAUCGUUUACCUUUUGCCACACAUUUUACGUACAGUAGAUUUUUCAAAGUUUUCAAACAGGUCGCACCAGCUAACUCGUUAAAUUCGUAUCGUGACUAUAAGAAAUGUGACUUUCAAUGCGAUAUCGUGUCAAUGGACAGUUCUUGCCGAGUUAAUUGCGGUGGCGUGGAUCGUUUCCUCGCGUUGCCAACGAACAAGGAUCGAUCGGCGGCGUAUCGAAGCCGUGGGGAAGGUUCGUUUCGCGUGUCGCAAUCGCGGCCGAGUUACGAAACGCCACAGAGAAACGUCGAAAUUCCGUGAACGCGGCUUUAAUAAACCGAUAACACCGAUGAACAGCGGUAGAGGAGUUUCUAAUUGCUCGCGCCUCGAUCUGGGGCUACCGUUGCGUAAUCGUCAGUGCGCGGAUAGCUCGCGAUCGGUUGCGAAAUUUUUUACGUCAAAAAGUUCACGACGAGCUGGAAUGCGCCGCGGAUCGUUAAAAAGGUGUAUUCGCUCGGCUCGAACGUUUUCGACGAUUAACGCGGCUUAGAAAGCAUCAACCGCUGCACGUCGUUUACGGAUUCGCAAGUCGCUUGUAUAACACUCUGCGAAACAUCUGUUACGGUUUCAGUUGCCGAUCAGUAGAUUUAUCGCCUUUACAAGUUCGCAGUUUGAAUUGGUAUUUUACGUAGAAAAGAGAAAGUUGGCGAUAAGAUUUCGAAUCGCGAGAGAGUAACGGCUGGAUGAAUUGACAUUGACGUGGUGACGAUAAUAAUGGAAUAUACGUAUUACGACCAUUUUUCACGAUUCAAUCUGCUUACGCUCUGCAUUAAGAGGCUUAGACAUAACAAAUUAGUAUUCCUUCGGUGAAAAGGACCUAGACCCAGUAUCGGCCGUGGAAUUGCCUAAUACAACGUCGUACGGCAAGUAACGCACGGAAUUGGGUUAGAAAGCGGCUGAAAGAGCGUUCGAGAGCAAUGAAAAGAUAUUUGUCGAAAAGGAAUUGGGUAAGUAGAGGAACACUAGUGUUAAAUGGAACGAAAAACUGUACGAUUAAGCGGAAAACGACCAGCUCUGUUUCUUCCAUUUCUCCUUUCGAUACCUUGUGGUCGAACGAGUAUAGCGAUUGCGUAAUUGCUGGUGAGAUUGGUCAUCGACGAAACAGUCGAAUCGAACGUAAGCGUUGUAUAUUCGAUAAAUUGCAUUCGAUUAUAAACAGAUUAUGCAUAUAUUGGAUGUAUUUAUAGGAGUUCGAACACAAACAUGCCAAUUUUAUGGGCAUUUUUAUCGUCUACUAUUUUUAAUACCAGAAUGAGCACGAUUUUAUGCAAAUUUAUAUUUUAAUGAAGAUAACCAAAGGAUAAAGAAAUGUAUCAGCUAAAUUGUCGGGCUAUUAUGCUUCUCAUAUUUUAUGUAUCUUCGCCUACUUCGCGCAAUUCGUAUUUUAUGCACAUGCAAAUUAUUCAUAAAUGCAUAAACAUUUACAGUCUAUUUAUUACAUAAAACGUUCCAUUUGUUUGAUUAAUAUAAUAAAUAUUACAGCGGAGCCACCGGACACGAGCUUUAAUACCAGAGCUAGCAGAGCGGGUAAAACUGUUUAUAUAAUUGUUCAUUUUUUAUAGGAACUUUAUAAAUAUUCAAUGCUCUAUUCUUGGUAACUCGAAUAACUUUUUGCACGAAAUACGCACAUGGAUAACAUUGUAUUAUAUAGCGUUAGGUUUGUACGCGCGUGCUCUGUUUCUCCAAAUAAUAUUAGUCUACAUAAGAAGAUCCACGUCUAUAGCCUUAUAUUAUAUUCAAAUUCUAUGUUACUUAUUUAUAUCGCUAUUCUGUGCGUGGCGUUCCAUGAAUUUUCUUUGAAAAUCCUCCCAGCAACACUCGGUUAAUUAAUGAUUAAUACGAUUGUCGAUGAACUAAGGUUCCUGAAAUUUUAGACAAUUUCAUUUUAGAAGUCCGUGUAAUAUUUUUCUACUUUACGAUCAUCGUGCCAUUUACGGAUAUUGUAUCGUGUAAGUUCACGUUAUUGCGCGUAGAUAUUCAUAGGAGGGAAAUGAUCUCUCGUCUGCGAUUUCAUUUUCAUCUCUGAUUUCAAACAAUAUUCGCAAAGACUACGUUCAGUUAAUAUUAUAAGCCACCGACCACGGCUUGAAAGAGGAUUAUCGCGUAUUCAGCGUUUCGAAAGUUUGCCAAUGUUCUUCGGUUAAUGCCUGACGAAAUUUGCUCGAAAGGAUUUGCGUCUCUAAUAGACUCCCUAAUGAAACACAAAGCCGACUUAAUUCCACGUUAUCCCGUUUAACUGCUUCCUUUUUCUUUCUUCUCUUCUUUUUCUUUUUUUCGCGAGUAAAAGUACACGAAGAAUGGUCUUUUGUAAAUUAGUUAAAAGAGACUGUUUAAAGAUCGUAAUCGUCUUUGAGAAAUGCGAAUAAUAAAACUGACGCAGGAAGAAUCAACCCAAGAAACGGGAAUAACGUCUGAUAUAACUAGAUCUUAUAUAUGUUAAUGAUAUUCAUAGAUAAUGAAACAGAUUACGAAUACAAGAACUACAUUUAUUAAAACCUGUUCGCAUUUAUAUCUUCUUCGAAUACAGAGAAAAAACGAGGGUCAAGUUAUAAUUGACGUUUCCUCGGACGCGAGAAAUAAGUUACUUUAGAUCUAAAAUUAAUUCUCCGUUACAAACAAUUUCUCUAAUCCUUACUAACCAGAAAUUAACUGCCAACGUUUCUU